rnacentral:sRNA from 1 species
ACGAGAUGCCUCUCAGACUCGGGAAAUAGGACCUUAGACAAGCUCUAUUCUUCCUGGUCAGAGGGGCAUUUCUGCGUUACGACGCCAACUCAGCAAGCCUCCCCAUCGGUGGAUCGAG